rnacentral:rRNA from 1 species
UACGGGGGGGGGCAAGCGUUUGUUCGGAAUUACUGGGCGUAAAGGGCUCGUAGGCUGCCAACUAAGUCAGACGUGAAAUCCCUCGGCUUAACCGGGGAACUGCGUCUGAUACUGGAUGGCUUGAGAUUGGGAGAGGGGAUGCGGAAUUCCAGGUGUAGCGGUGAAAUGCGUAGAUAUCGGGAGGAACACCAAUGGCGAAGGCGAGCUCGCUGGGACGGUUACUGACGCUGAGA